GGGGGCAUAGCUCAGUUGGGAGAGCAACAGACUGAAGUGAUAUCUUCACGUCUUCUGGAGGUCCCCAGUUCAAUCCUGGGUGCCCCCA